rnacentral:rRNA from 1 species
GACGAACGCUGGCGGCGUGCCUAACACAUGCAAGUCGAACGGGGUAAUGACUUCGGUUAUUACUUAGUGGCGAACGGUGAGUAACGCGUGAGAAACCUGCCUUUCAGUGGGGGACAACAGUUGGAAACGACUGCUAAUACCGCAUAAUGUAUCGAUGGGGCAUCCUGUUGAUACCAAAGAUUUAUUGCUGAAAGAUGGUCUCGCGUCUGAUUAGCUAGUUGGUGAGGUAACGGCUCACCAAGGCGACGAUCAGUAGCCGGUCUGAGAGGAUGAACGGCCACAUUGGGACUGAGAUACGGCCCAGACUCCUACGGGAGGCAGCAGUGGGGAAUAUUGGGCAAUGGGCGAAAGCCUGACCCAGCAACGCCGCGUGAAGGAAGAAGGCCUUCGGGUUGUAAACUUCUUUACCAGGGACGAAGAACGUGACGGUACCUGGAGAAAAAGCAACGGCUAACUACGUG